UACGGAGGCCCCAAGCGUUGUUCGGAAUCACUGGGCGUAAAUCGCGUGUCGGCGGCUCUGCAAGUCGGGUGUGAAAUCCCGAGUGUCAACCUCGGAACUGAACUCGAUACUGCUUGGCUCGAGUCCCGGAGAGGGUGGCGGAAUUCCCGGUGUAGGGGUGAAAUCCGUAGAUAUCGGGAGGAACACCAGUGGCCAAGGCGCACACCUGUACGGUGACUGACGCUGAGACGCGCAAUCGUGGGGAGCAUACAGG
rnacentral:rRNA from 1 species